rnacentral:rRNA from 1 species
CAGCAGCCGCGGUAAUACGUAGGGUGCAAGCGUUAAUCGGAAUUACUGGGCGUAAAGCGUGCGCAGGCGGUUAUAUAAGUCAGAUGUGAAAUCCCCGGGCUCAACCUGGGAACUGCAUUUGAGACUGUAUGGCUAGAGUGUGUCAGAGGGGGGUAGAAUUCCACGUGUAGCAGUGAAAUGCGUAGAUAUGUGGAGGAAUACCGAUGGCGAAGGCAGCCCCCUGGGAUAACACUGACGCUCAUGCACGAAAGCGUGGGGAGCAAACAGGAUUAGAUACCCCAGUAGUCCCUGUCUCUUAUAC